UACGGGGGGGGCAAGCGUUGUUCGGAAUUACUGGGCGUAAAGGGCUCGUAGGCGGCCAACUAAGUCGGAUGUGAAAUCCCCAGGCUUAACCUGGGAACUGCAUCCGAUACUGGAUGGCUUGAAUCCGGGAGAGGGAUGCAGAAUUCCUGGUGUAGCGGUGAAAUGCGUAGAGAUCAGGAAGAACACCAGUGGCGAAGGCGCUCUGCUAGGCCGUAACUGACACUGAGGGACGAAAGCUAGGGGAGCGAAUGGG
rnacentral:rRNA from 1 species